rnacentral:rRNA from 1 species
UACGUAGGGUGCGAGCGUUAAUCGGAAUUACUGGGCGUAAAGCGUGCGCAGGCGGAUUGUUAAGCAAGAUGUGAAAUCCCCGGGCUUAACCUGGGAAUGGCAUCUUGAACUGGCAAUCUAGAGUGUGUCAGAGGGGGGUAGAAUUCCACGUGUAGCAGUGAAAUGCGUAGAUAUGUGGAGGAACAUCGAUGGCGAAGGCAGCCUCCUGGGAUAACACUGACGCUCAUGCACGAAAGCGGGGGGAGCAAACAGG